rnacentral:rRNA from 1 species
UACGGAGGAUGCAAGCGUUAUCCGGAAUGAUUGGACGUAAAGCGUCCGCAGGUGGCUGUGUAAGUCUGCUGUUAAAGAGUCUAGCUCAACUAGAUAAGAGCAGUGGAAACUACACGGCUAGAGUACGUUCGGGGCAGAGGGAAUUCCUGGUGUAGCGGUGAAAUGCGUAGAGAUCAGGAAGAACACCGGUGGCGAAGGCGCUCUGCUAGGCCGUAACUGACACUGAGGGACGAAAGCUAGGGGAGCGAAUGGG